UGCCGCGUGUGUGAAGAAGGCCUCUCGGGUUGUAAAGCACUUUUGUCCGGAAAGAAAUCCUUGGCUCUAAUACAGUCGGGGGAUGACGGUACCGGAAGAAUAAGCACCGGCUAACUACGUGCCAGCAGCCGCGGUAAUACGUAGGGUGCGAGCGUUAAUCGGAAUUACUGGGCGUAAAGCGUGCGCAGGCGGUUUGCUAAGACCGAUGUGAAAUCCCCGGGCUCAACCUGGGAACUGCAUUGGUGACUGGCAGGCUAGAGUAUGGCAGAGGGGGGUAGAAUUCCACGUGUAGCAGUGAAAUGCGUAGAGAUGUGGAGGAAUACCGAUGGCGAAGGCAGCCCCCUGGGCCAAUACUGACGCUCAUGCACGAAAGCGUGGGGAGCAAACAGGAUUAGAUACCCUGGUAGUCCACGCCCUAAACGAUGUCAACUAGUUGUUGGGGAUUCAUUUCCUUAGUAACGUAGCUAACGCGUGAAGUUGACCGCCUGGGGAGUACGGUCGCAAGAUUAAAACUCAAAGGAAUUGACGGGGACCCGCACAAGCGGUGGAUGAUGUGGAUUAAUUCGAUGCAACGCGAAAAACCUUACCUACCCUUGACAUGGUCGGAAUCCUGCU
rnacentral:rRNA from 2 species